rnacentral:rRNA from 1 species
AUUGAACGCUGGCGGCAGGCCUAACACAUGCAAGUCGCACGAGUGGCGGACGGGUGAGUAAUGUCUGGGAAACUGCCUGAUGGAGGGGGAUAACUACUGGAAACGGUAGCUAAUACCGCAUACCAUCGGAUGUGCCCAGAUGGGAUUAGCUAGUAGGUGGGGUAAAGGCUCACCUAGGCGACGAUCCCUAGCUGGUCUGAGAGGAUGGCCAGCCACACUGGAACUGCGACCCGGUCCAUACGCCUACGGGAGGCAGCAGUGGGGAAUAUUGCACGAUGAGCGCAAGCCGGAUGCAGCCAUGCCGCGUGUAUGAAGAGGGCCUUCGGUUUUUAGAGUACUUUCAGCGGGGGGGCGUUACCCGCAGAAGAAGCGCCGGCUAACUCCGUGCCAGCAGCCGCGGUAAUAC